UACGUAGGGUGCAAGCGUUGUCCGGAAUUAUUGGGCGUAAAGAGCUUGUAGGCGGUUCGGCAAGUCGGGUGUGAAAACUCCAGGCUCAACCUGGAGACGCCACCCGAUACUGCUGUGACUUGAGUCCGGUAGGGGACCACGGAAUUCCUGGUGUAGCGGUGAAAUGCGCAGAUAUCAGGAGGAACACCGGUGGCGAAGGCGGGGUCUCUGGGCCGAAAACUGACGCUGAGGAGCGAAAGCGUGGGGGAGCAAAACAGGA
rnacentral:rRNA from 1 species